rfam:Rubellimicrobium thermophilum DSM 16684 genomic scaffold R1_scaffold4, whole genome shotgun sequence.
GGGGACCUUCGGGGCCCUUGUACAUGACGGAAGACAGGAA